rnacentral:rRNA from 2 species
UCUAGUGAUGAUGGCAAAGAGGUCACACCUGUUCUCAUGCCGAACACAGAAGUUAAGCUCUUUAGCGCCGAUGGUAGUUGGGGGCUUCCCCCUGCGAGAGUAGGACGUCGCUAGGC